rnacentral:rRNA from 1 species
AGUGAACGCUGGCGGUAGGCCUAACACAUGCAAGUCGAACGGCAGCACAGUAAGAGCUUGCUCUUACGGGUGGCGAGUGGCGGACGGGUGAGGAAUACAUAGGAAUCUACUUUUUCGUGGGGGAUAACGUAGGGAAACUUACGCUAAUACCGCAUACGACCUACGGGUGAAAUCAGGGGAUCUUCGGACCUUGCGCGAUUGAAUGAGCCGAUGUCGGAUUAGCUAGUUGGCGGGGUAAAGGCACACCAAGGCAACGAUCCGUAGCUGGUCUGAGAGGAUGAUCAGCCACACUGGAACUGAGACACGGUCCAGACUCCUACGGGAGGCAGCAGUGGGGAAUAUUGGACAAUGGGCGCAAGCCUGAUCCAGCCAUACCGCGUGGGUGAAGAAGGCCUUCGGGUUGUAAAGCCCUUUUGUUGGGAAAGAAAAGCAGCAGGUUAAUACCCCGCUGUUCUGACGGUACCCAAAGAAUAAGCACCGGCUAACUUCGUG